rnacentral:rRNA from 1 species
UCUUGCUGUCUACGGCCCUGGAUGCGCCUGAUCUCAUCUGAUCUUGGAAGUUAAGCAGGGUCGGGCCGGGUUAGCCCUUGGAUGGGAGAAGGGGUCUUGCUUAAU